UGAAACUGGUAUACUUGAGUAUGGUUGCUGUCGGCGGAAUGUAUUAUGUAGCGGUGAAAUGCAUAGAUAUGAUACAGAACACCAAUUGCGAAAGCAGCUGACAAAACCAGCACUGACGCUGAUAGACGAAAGCGUGGGGAGCGAACAGGAUUAGAUACCCUGGUAGUCCACGCAGUAAACUAUGGGCACUAGUUUUUGGCGAUAGACAGUCAGAGACAAAGCGAAAGCGUUAAGUGCCCCACCUGGGGAUUACGUUCGCAAGAAUGAAACUCAAAGGAAUUGACGGGGGCCCGCACAAGCGGAGGAACAUGUGGUUUAAUUCGAUGAUACGCGAGGAACCUUACCUGGGCUUAAAUGCUAGGCGUCUUCGGGCGUAGUCUGUAGAAAUACAGCCUAAACUUGCAAGGUGCUGCAUGGUUGUCGUCAGCUCGUGCCGUGAGGUGUCGGGUUAAGUCCCAUAACGAGCGCAACCCACAUUCUUAGUUGCCAUCAAAUAAGUUGGGCACUCUAGGAAAACUGCCAUCGUAAGAUGUGAGGAAGGUGUGGAUGACGUCAAAUCAGCACGGCCCUUAUGUCCAGGGCUACACACGUGUUACAAUGGUCGGUACAAAAGGCAGCGACCUGGUAACAGAGAGCUAAUCUUAAAAACCGGCCUCAGUUCGGAUUGGAGUCUGCAAUUCGACUCCAUGAAGUCGGAUUCGCUAGUAACCGCGUAUCAGCAAUGACGCGGUGAUACGUUCCCGGGCAUUGUACACACCGCCCGUCAAGCCAUGGAAGCUGGGUGCACACUGAAGUCCGUGACCGUUCAGGAGCGGCCGAAGGUGAAACUAGUGACUGGG
rnacentral:rRNA from 1 species